AAAGAAAGCAAUACCCAAGCACAGUUUAACCUCCCCGGCAUUUUUGCACUUAAGGAGGGUCCUAGUAUUAAUAAAACGAGGAGAGGCCUUAGGCUCCCCGCGUUCAUCUCUUAUGGUAACUCCCUUACGAGUCGUCCAGACCCCGGGAGUAAAACCGGCCACAAAGGUCUUCAGACUUUCGAAGGCAGCCAUGUCCUCGGGAGACAAGUCUGCGUCCCCGGUUGUAUAUUCCUUGGGCUCCUUCAGGAAAUGGGUAUACGACCAGCUUAACGGGAACUUAGGGACUGCCCGAAAUAUAACUUGCCCGCUGGCAUCCUUGCGAGCAACACCUUGCUCGUCC
rnacentral:lncRNA from 1 species